rnacentral:rRNA from 1 species
UACGGAGGGUGCAAGCGUUAUCCGGAUUCACUGGGUUUAAAGGGUGCGUAGGUGGGCAGGUAAGUCCGUGGUGAAAUCUCUGAGCUUAACUCAGAAACUGCCGUGGAUACUAUUUGUCUUGAAUAUUGUGGAGGUGAGCGGAAUAUGUCAUGUAGCGGUGAAAUGCUUAGAUAUGACAUAGAACACCAAUUGCGAAGGCAGCUCAGUACACAAUGAUUGACGCUGAGGCACGAAAGCGUGGGGAUCAAACAGG